rnacentral:rRNA from 1 species
GAUGAACGCUGGCGGCGUGCCUAAUACAUGCAAGUCGAGCGAACGGACGAGAAGCUUGCUUCUCUGAUGUUAGCGGCGGACGGGUGAGUAACACGUGGAUAACCUACCUAUAAGACUGGGAUAACUUCGGGAAACCGGAGCUAAUACCGGAUAAUAUUUUGAACCGCAUGGUUCAAAAGUGAAAGACGGUCUUGCUGUCACUUAUAGAUGGAUCCGCGCUGCAUUAGCUAGUUGGUAAGGUAACGGCUUACCAAGGCAACGAUGCAUAGCCGACCUGAGAGGGUGAUAGGCCACACUGGAACUGAGACACGGUCCAGACUCCUACGGGAGGCAGCAGUAGGGAAUCUUCCGCAAUGGGCAAAAGCCUGACGGAGCAACGCCGCGUGAGUGAUGAAGGUCUUCGGAUCGUAAAACUCUGUUAUUAGGGAAGAACAUAUGUGUAAGUAACUGUGCACAUCUUGACGGUACCUAAUCAGAAAGCCACGGCUAACUACGUG